rnacentral:lncRNA from 9 species
GGAGGGUGGUGCAGGGACACCUGUGGGCAAGCAGGAAGGACAGGUGUGUGUCUGCAGGAAAGAGCCAUGCGGAGGGAGAGCCUGAGGGAGCAAAGACUUUGCCUGCAGUCCUGGGGCUGCCCCAGCUGGAAGGAGAGCUGGGGGUCCUGCGGCUUAGGAGGGGCUGUCGGCCGAGGAUCUUGGAGAGGCGGGGGCUAAGAGGGUGUCCCGAGGGUGCGAGGCUGGCUGAACCCUGAGCCUGUGGGCUCUGGCCCCAGAGACUGUGGGCUGCCUCCCCAUCUGCUGGGUGGGUCCCCGCUCCUCCUUGCAGGCUGAGUUAGCAUGUCACGGUGUACUCAGAGGGGGUCUGUGCGUGUGGGCGCACAGCUCUGCUCUUCGUGUAUUUCUGGGCCCAUGACGUUGCUGUCUGCUGCCUAUGCAGGCAUAGUUGUGACUUUGUAGGGACAUCUCCAUGUGACUGGUUUGUGUCCUUUGUGCGUGUAUGUCUGAGAUGGAAACUGUCUCUAUCUAGGUUGAGGGCUGGUCUGUGAGGUUGGGAUUUUCAGUCCAAGUGUGUGUGUCUGUGAGUGAGUCUGUGCAAGUGUGCUCCCUCCCUGGUCAGGGGCUGGGGUCCUGGCAGUGGGAAGUGGGGCACAGAAGUCCUGGGAAGCUGACCCUGUGGGUAGAUGGGCAGAUGGGCCAGCAGGGGAGGGAGGGGCGACCCCAUUGUCCCCUGGGGAGCACAAUGCCCACGCCUGGGCCCCUGACCUUGCCUUUGUGCCCUUCCCACCCCCUCCCCAUUGCCAGGGCCUUGCUGAAAGCAGCCAUCAAUCACUGCUGCCCAGAAGACAGCUCCUCAGACUGCCAGUCCCUCCUCCCUGCCCUGCUCCUCCCUUGCUGCCCCAAAGUGCCCCCCAAAGUAAAGUCCUGCCACGUCACCCUUCGCCCAGGCCAGGAGGGGGACAAAACUGAGGGGAGGCAAUGGGCCACAGAAGCCUGUCUGAGGGGAGGCUCCGGGCUUGCUGGCUGUCCCCGCAGGUUGCACUGCAAGCUCUGAGCUGGUUUUCAUGCGGGAGCUUGGGGACAUGGUGCCUGUGCUGGAGUGCCUGCUGGUGCUGCCAAUGCCAGGUGGAGGGUGAGCCUCCGGUAUCCAUUUCCUGGCAGUGGGAUGGGCCGGCCCUGGCCAAAGACAGCAAACCCAGCCUGAUGCCACCAGACAACUCCCUGCAUCUGGCUGCCCUGCCCUCCCACCGGAGCCUCCUUUCCCGCACCCACCAGUAUCACUGUGUGGCCCAGAACUGCUACGGGCGCCUGGUGAGCCAGUGGGCUCGGAUGCAGCUGGCAAGGUGA